rnacentral:rRNA from 1 species
UACGUAGGGUGCAAGCGUUGUCCGGAAUUAUUGGGCGUAAAGAGCUCGUAGGCGGUUUGUCGCGUCGGCUGUGAAAACUCGGGGCUCAACCCCGAGCCUGCAGUCGAUACGGGCAGACUAGAGUGCUGUAGGGGAGACUGGAAUUCCUGGUGUAGCGGUGAAAUGCGCAGAUAUCAGGAGGAACAUCGGUGGCGAAGGCGGGUCUCUGGGCAGUAACUGACGCUGAGGAGCGAAAGCGUGGGGAGCGAACAGG